rnacentral:rRNA from 1 species
UACGGAGGGGGCGAGCGUUAUUCGGAAUUAUUGGGCGUAAAGGGCGCGUAGGCGGCUAGGUAAGUCAAAGGUGAAAUCCCUCGGCUCAACUGAGGAACUGCCUUUGAAACUGCCUGGCUUGAGGCCGGGAGGGGGUAGCGGAAUUCCCAGUGUAGCGGUGAAAUGCGUAGAUAUUGGGAGGAACACCGGUGGCGAAGGCGGGUCUCUGGCUUCACCCUGACGCUGAGGCGCGAAAGCGUGGGGAGCGAACGGG